GUUUGGUUGUGAUGAUAUAUAGGACAUAGAAAUAUAGGCUGUUAGCCUGUUAUUAGGAUAACCAAUUACGGUUGAAUUCCAAUAUUAGAUAGUUAAUAUAACUACCAAAGAAUCUGUUGUAACUGAAAUAAUAUACAAGAAUUAUCUUCUCUCUUUAGAUUUUUUUUCCCUCUCUUAUCUUCUCCCUUUUUUUCCUCGAUUCACUCUUAUCUCUAUCAGUCACGUUCUCCAAUCGCAGGUCCUAUAAAGGUGUUAUCAU
rnacentral:misc_RNA from 1 species